rnacentral:rRNA from 1 species
UGGGGAAUAUUGGACAAUGGGCGAAAGCCUGAUCCAGCCAUGCCGCGUGUGUGAAGAAGGUCUUCGGAUUGUAAAGCACUUUAAGUUGGGAGGAAGGGCAUUAACCUAAUACGUUAGUGUUUUGACGUUACCGACAGAAUAAGCACCGGCUAACUCUGUGCCAGCAGCCGCGGUAAUACAGAGGGUGCAAGCGUUAAUCGGAAUUACUGGGCGUAAAGCGCGCGUAGGUGGUUUGUUAAGUUGGAUGUGAAAGACCCGGGCUCAACCUGGGAACUGCAUCCAAAACUGGCAAGCUAGAGUACGGUAGAGGGUGGUGGAAUUUCCUGUGUAGCGGUGAAAUGCGUAGAUAUAGGAAGGAACACCAGUGGCGAAGGCGACCACCUGGACUGAUACUGACACUGAGGUGCGAAAGCGUGGGGAGCAAACA